rnacentral:rRNA from 1 species
UACGAAGGGGGCUAGCGUUGUUCGGAAUCACUGGGCGUAAAGCGCACGCAGGCGGAUUGAUAAGUCAGGGGUGAAAUCCCGGAGCUCAACUUCGGAAUUGCCUUUGAUACUGUCUGUCUUGAGUCCGGGAGAGGUGAGUGGAAUUCCUAGUGUAGAGGUGAAAUUCGUAGAUAUUAGGAGGAACACCGGUGGCGAAGGCGGCCCACUGGUCCGGUACUGACGCUGAGGUGCGAAAGCGUGGGGAGCAAACAGG